GGUUGCACGUUCGUGGGCAGCAGGAGUAGGUCCAUCGGAGACGGAUGGGCAACCCAGUGUGCAGACUGUAACAGGGCUGGUGGAAUCUGGAGGGAGGGUGCAAAUACUAAGAAAAGCCCACCUCGGAGUCCGCCUCGCUCACGUACUCUAGUUUCUCUGGCCCCACCGUUAGACCAGCUGGGGAGCCAUGGGGGACCUCCACCUCAUCCCUCUACCUCACCCUGGCUUGAGCCAGAGGCCGGCACAGGGCCAAAGCCCUUGUUUUCCCCGCCUCUGCCAUCCCCCUACGGGGAACUGGACGCUGCCACAGGUAGAGACCCUCCCCCCCCUUCCAGAGUGUACAGCCACAUUAGGAACGAGUGACACACCUGGGAUACAGCCCCUGAGACAGGUGCCUGAUGGUGAGGGGACGCUUAUUGAUGCGCACGUCCCCUUUUCCACCUCUGACCUGUGUUAUUGGAAGGCACACACGAAAGGACUGAGUGCUGACCCAGAGGAGUUCAUAAGCCCGACGAAGGGAAUCUUCUGCACCCGUGAUCCAACCUGGGCAGAUAUUCCAAGCUUGUUGACUGCACUCCUCAUGCCUGAGGAAAAGUCAUCCGUUCCAUUCAAAGCCAGAGAACAAGCAGGGAAGGAAGAUGACCCAGGAUCAGACAUCCGCAGGCCUGGUGGACAGGCUGUGCCAGAGACUGAGCCAGGGUGGAAUGCCAAUGAUCUUGAGGAGCAAGGAAAGGGAGGAUACUUUUGGGGUCUGCUUUCGAAAACCAUGAAAAGAGUAAGCCAGCCACCCAUUAUGUGGCCUAAAUUAAGAGAGGUCCAAUAGGGCCCUGAGGAAACCCCCCCAGCCCUCCACGCUCUUCGUUCCAGAGGCCGCAGGACUGCCUCAGGCGAUACACAAAUUGGGACCUGGAGGCCCGGGGCAGCACAGUGAUCCUGAAUCUGUAUUUCAGACCUCACUAGUGCUCCAGACACCUGUGGGAAACUCCAAAAGUUGGCCACUGGUCCUGCUGCCAGUCCCGCACAGCUACAAGUGGCUGCAUGGAGGGUGCUCCAUAACCAGGUUGAAGCUGAGGAUGAAAAAGAGGCAAGAAGAUGAAAAGGCAGGCCGCCCUGCUCGCUGUGGCCUGCCAGUCUCCUCAAGGAUGAAGCAGCCCCCGAGAAGCAAGAGAUUCCCCUACACGUUUCAAGCAGGGCUAACUCGGAAUUAUGGGCCCAAGGAGAGGUGGAGUGAGCAGCCGGUGCCACGCCAGGAAAGGUAAAAUGGAAGCAGGAACAGUACAUAUUCCUCAAGUGAAGGACAGGAUCUCAAUAAACAACUAAGUGAGCAUUGAAGAAAACCUUGUAAGUCCUUGAGCACAGCAGGAGGAACACGGUGACACCAAGCCCAAAGAAUUGAGGAACUCAUUGUGGACGUGCACGAGCAAGCUCACAGAGUAAAGAUUCCCAGUGUUUUCAACAAGGGAGGAAUUAAAUGUUUCUAGUUAAUCCAGAA